CUAGAGCCUAGUGGUCAUCUUAUGUGAGCGGCAUCUCCCUCAGACCUCUCUUCCUGCUCUUUCUAGACUGUGGGCACUGUGUGGAGCAGCCUCUAGUGCUCACAGCAUGUUUCUUCCACAACAGUUUCAGGAUCUGCUAAAGCAGCAAUAAAUGAAGAUGAAAGAAAUCAAACUGAAAAACAAGGAGAAUGCAAUCCUCAUCUAAUACGUGCUUGGCUGGUGAAACUCUAGCUGAAAGAUGUUGUGAAAGCCAGCUACUUGCAUGGUUUUGAUGGUAGAUUGAGCAAGCCAACAGAAGAUGGAGACUCAGGAAGACAAGGCCAGCCUGUCACCUCUGGUAGUUACUGUGUAGUUAAUAACUUUUCAGGAGAAACCAUCAAGAUCCCAUGGAUAAUUUGGCUGCCUCCUGGAAUUACUUGUGCCUAGGGCUUCCUUAACACAACAGGAUAAUUCCCCAAGAGGAUGAUUGUUGGUUGGGAAUGGAUACAUAGGAUUUCAGAAGAUAAAAUCAAAGAGCAGGACCAGGACUCCGAAGAGACCACAUCUCAAGAACAGGCUGUCUGCUAAGAAAUCAGGCUUCCUCCCGCACCAAAAACAAACACGAAAAUAAUCCUAAUUCAUGGCUGGUGAAGAAUCUAACCACUGCAGAUAUUGCAGUGUGUGAACUGGUGUCUUCAGGUUUGCAGAAGUGAAUGUCACAGAGCACUGUAAUUAGCUGAUGAUUUUUAAAGGCAAUUAUCUAAGAAAAUGCAAAUGGAGGUGGAAGAAAUGGAAGUCAUUGUCCUACCUGUGAGAGCUGCCCAAGCUGGUGCCUGGUUGCUCCAGUAGUUUGUUUGUCUUCAAGGAUUUACACCUCACUGAGCGCUGUCUCAUCCAUGGCUGUAAGGCACUCUCACCAAAUCCCAAGGCACAGGAGACUUUAAAAACACCAUGUUGGACCUACGUUCUUUGUAGAGACCACCCAGUGCUAGUUGUCCUCACUCUGGUGAAGACACCAGAUUGGAUCCUAUACAUUCUGAUACGCACAUGAGAAUAAAUAUAAUUAACAUUC